rnacentral:piRNA from 1 species
UGGAAAUGUCGGAAGGUGGACUAGCCACAU